CCUACGGGUGGCUGCAGUGGGGAAUAUUGCACAAUGGGGGAAACCCUGAUGCAGCGACGCCGCGUGAGCGAUGAAGUAUUUCGGUACGUAAAGCUCUAUCAGCAGGGAAGAAAAUGACGGUACCUGACUAAGCAGCCCCGGCUAACUCCGUGCCAGCAGCCGCGGUAAUACGUAGGGGGCAAGCGUUAUCCGGAUUUACUGGGUGUAAAGGGAGCGUAGACGGCAGUGCAAGUCUGGAGUGAAAUCCCAUGGCUUAACCCCGGGACUGCAUUUGAAACUGUGGAGCUAGAGUGCAGGAGAGGUAAGCGGAAUUCCUAGUGUAGCGGUGAAAUGCGUAGAUAUUAGGAGGAACACCAGUGGCGAAGGCGGCUUACUGGACGGUAACUGACGUUGAGGCUCGAAAGCGUGGGGAGCAAACAGGAUUAGAUACCCCUGUAGUC
rnacentral:rRNA from 1 species